UGGGGAAUAUUGGACAAUGGGCGAAAGCCUGAUCCAGCCAUGCCGCGUGAGUGACGAAGGCCUUAGGGUUGUAAAACUCUUUCGUCGGGGACGAUAAUGACGGUACCCGAAGAAGAAGCUCCGGCUAACUCGUGCCAGCAGCCGCGGUAAUACGAAGGGAGCUAGCGUUGUUCGGAAUCACUGGGCGUAAAGCGCACGUAGGCGGAUAGUUAAGUCAGGGGUGAAAUCCUGGGGCUCAACCCCAGAACUGCCUUUGAUACUGGCUGUCUCGAGGUCGAGAGAGGUUGGUGGAAUUCCUAGUGUAGAGGUGAAAUUCGUAGAUAUUAGGAAGAACACCAGUGGCGAAGGCGGCUCACUGGAUCGGUACUGACGCUGAGGUGCGAAAGCGUGGGGAGCAAACAGGAUUAGAUACCCCCGUAGUCCCUGAGCGGGCUGGCAAGGCGCAU
rnacentral:rRNA from 1 species